AAAUGAUUUCAUGUAAAGGCUUACUCUAACUCAUGACAAAGCUUGAAGUUGACAACUUUAAGAAGAAAAAUAAAUAAAAAUGCCUUCAUGCAUCUCUAUGCCUUCAUAUUUGUCAAGUAAAUAGCAUCAGCUGUGGGAUUCAGGCUGCUCAUACAUUGCGAGACAUUCUUUAGGGCGGUAGGACCCUCCAUAUACUGUACAUCAUGCAUG